GCAUUGGAUGCUAGCGGGACUGUGUGCGCAAAGUGUGCGUUAAUGAACAAAUACCACACAGAAACAGAGAUUUGAACAACUAGCCUGUGUACUGCUGGGUUGUGUACCUCCCAGUUUCUCGAAUAAACGCCACCUUUUUCAUGGAACUGAUUGGAUUUAUUGUGUUCUAAUCGGCACCCCAUUGAGGAAUGCUAGAUACAUACCUUCACCUAAUACAGUCCAACCUUCACAAACUUUGCUAUCGAACACUCUCUAUACUCCUUUUGUGGAGGCUAAACACAAAUAAAUGCAGUUUACCCAUCUCUGA